CACUGCUUAUACUGAUUCAGCAGAACAGAGUGAUGAGGAGAGGUAGGAGAGAUCCAGAGACUGUCAUAUUGUGUCUUAUUCAGUGUGUGAUCAGUCAUGUGUUGUGAACUGACAGCAGGUUUGUCUGUCUACACUCACAGCUCUCUCUAAGAGGAGACACAGGACGGCGACUGAGGCCGUUUAUGAGGAGAUUCAGCACAGACACAAUCACUUCACUCAGAGGGGGAGUCUCAUCUCUGAAGAACUGCAUUCUGGGUAUGAAAAUGCUGAUGAGCUGCUCUCAGAAGAGACGCUGAAGGAAAUCACACCGAGAUACUUUGAUGAUGUCAUCACUGAUGGACUGAAAGCAGAUCGUGAGACAGUGGACACAGCAGAUGAUUAUGAAGAUGUCAUCAUUAAUGGACAGAACUUUGAAGGUGUAACAGGUGUAAUCUAAUAGUCUCAGACAGUCAUGAAGAGAAAGAUAUCAAUGACACAAGCUGUGUUUCACAUUAUGUGAGGUUUUAUUUCACUCGUGUAUCAGAGGGAGAUCAGGAAGAGUAUGAUGAUGUGAAGAACAGCAGUGAAGAUGAGAGAAACAUGUUGGACUAUGAUGAUGUGGGGGAGGGACCAUAUUACUCAUGACCACACCCACUGCCUCUGUUCAUCAAAUCAUAUUUCAGUUACUGGAGCUGUUGGGAGUUUCUCAUACUGCUAUUAAUGCAUCACUGCUUUGCGUUUUUAUAUUAUUUUGAAUCUUUGUAUGAAAUGUUACAUGCUUUGCAAAAUUUGGUAAUGACAAUUUUCAAUCUUCAGUAUUUAGCCUAUUGUUUUCAAUGCAUAAAAGAUAUUAUUUUUUAUAAGUGAAUUUCUAUUAACUUUAUGAAUGAAAUAAUUUUUAGAAGAACAGUUAGAUGAAAGUGCUAAAGGCAGCAGCAUUAUCUACCUAAAUAAUGUAAAAAAAUAAAAUUGUCACAAAGUCACAUUUAAACACCAAUCCCAAAGCACAAUUCAUUGUAUGAUGGUCCAUUUGAACUUUAAAGAAUCUUAAACAGUUGUUUAGUCUAAUUUUGUCUUUGAAACUGAAUAAUUUGCAUAUUUUGAAUUAGCACCAUCUGGAGGUUGAGGAUGGAUUGAUCCUUCUUGGUUUUACUUUUCAACAACUUUUCAACUCUUUUAAGAAUUUCUACACAGACAGGCAUAAAACAAGCAUCAAUUAUUCAAUUACCACAACAUGAAAAUGACACAAUCAGAUGAUUGUACGGCAUUUUAAACUAAUUAUUGGCCAACAAAAAAAGAUUAAACUUCAAAAUCUAUUCUUAUGAAUCGGCAAUGCAUCAAGAAAUAGAGUGAAUUGUUACACUCACAUUUAAAACAAGUUCAAAAAAUGAAUGUAUGUUGCUCUUCUAGAACUAUCUUUACAUUACAAUAAGAUACUGUGUGACCAAAACACAGUGAACAGACACAUGUAGGUAUAAAUGGUCAUUCUGUUGUUCAAGGGGAAGAUAUCACUUCAAAAUGAAUCCAUAAUUGUUUUUUACCGUUUAAAGUAAGAUUUAUAGUUUCAUUUUCCUUUUUUGUAUGAUUUUUUUAAUAAACACUACCUUUAGUAACUAUUAGGGGUGACCCCGAAUAGUCGACGAUUCGAUGCUUCGAUAGGAGGAGCCUGAUUUGACUCUCAAUCUAGAAUUCCUUCCAUUUUGCCUGCUUAAAUCCCCAUCUUGCACACUGAUUAAAGUUUUGCUUUCCAACUACAUUCUGAAUCUCAUACUACAGGCCAGUGAUCACUACCCAAAUUAUCUUCAUGUCUACUCCAAGUACACUUACCAGCUAAAGCUGCUGAUGUUAUUGUGAGAUCUAAACAU